rnacentral:rRNA from 1 species
AACAAGUAUUAAAGGCAACGCCUGCCCAGUGAAUAAUUAAACGGCCGCGGUACCCUAACCGUGCAAAGGUAGCAUAAUCAUUUGUCUAUUAACUGUAGACCUGUAUGAAAGGCAAAAUGAGAGUCAAGCUGUCUCUUAUAAUAAAUCUAUUAAACUGAUCUCCUAGUAAAAAAGCUAGGAUGACAACAUAAGACCAGAAGACCCUGUGAAGCUUAAACCAAACUAUUAAACCAAAUAAUAACUACUUUCGGUUGGGGCGACCUUGGAAAUAAAAAGAACUUCCAAACACAAUGCUUAAACAUACAAAUAUUCAGGCCCACAAGCCAACAAACGACCCAGCAAAGCUGAUAAAUGAACAAAGUUACUCCAGGGAUAACAGCGCUAUCUUCUUCAAGAGCCCAUAUCAAAAAGAAGGUUUACGACCUCGAUGUUGGAUCAGGACAUCCUAAUGGUGCAACCGCUAUUAAGGGUUCGUUUGUUCAACGAUUAAUGUCCU